UGAUACAUAGCCUGCUUUCUUACACUGACCUUUGUUUUAAGAUUAUAACAAAUAUCCCAGGAAAUAUUCAUACUUGGCCAAACUCUGGAAGCAGGAUACAGGCCAACAGACCAGCAUCAAAGUGAGGGUGGGAUAGAAAGAAAUCUACCUCCAUCAGGCCAAGCAUCAGCACUACAGUGUCUGCUUCAGAGCUGCGCAAGCCCCAUAAGCAUUAUCAAACCAUGCCACAUAUUCUAUUAAGUUGUUGUGAUGCCAAAACUCCUGGCAAAAUGUAUCAUGCAGCAUAUCUAGCUGCUACCAGGAGAUCAACC
ensembl:lncRNA